rnacentral:lncRNA from 1 species
CCAGCCAGUCUCAGCACAGGUAUAUGGACGGACACCUGUAUGAACUCGAUAUGUUCUGUCCGAGCCCAAGCCCAUUUAAAUGUCCAGGUGUAGCCUUCCCAAGUGCAUUGUAGGGGACGAUCCUCACGAUGCACUUCCUGAUUGUGCACCAUCAGAUACUUGUGUGACGCCAACUUCUUUCCGCACCCCUUCACUGAGCAAAUAUUUUUCUUAUGGAGCCCCAACUCUUUUUUGGAGCCAAAUUUCAUCAGGCAGCCCUCAAUGUCACAAGAAUGCUCUACCUCUGAUUUUCUGGACCUUUUUCCAGCUGAAGCCUGGAUCCCAGAAGCUGUUUUUGUUCUUCUAUACUGGAUGUUUGCUUCAUCAAUGCACUUUUUGCUUCAGGUUUCUCCCCGACAAGUCCAGGGGUCCUUUGGAGUCUGCUUUUCAGUUCUUGGCCGGAGUCUAGUGCUCGGGCACCUUCCAACUUAUAUUCAAUAUUGACAUCUAGCUUUUUAGUGCCCUAGUCAUGUUUGUGUUCAGGCAGAGGUGUCUCAUCCUGGAUUGGCUUUACCUUGAGCUUAUUUUUGAAAGUCCUCUUUUAUUGUAUAAUACGUUUAUCUUUGCUUCUUUUGGUCGGCUCAAGAUCAUCCAUAUAUAGCCUUCCUCUUUAAUGUUGGACUUAGGUAGGGUACUGUAAGAAAGAUCGGCCCCCAGAUUUUUAGCCCAGUCAACAUUCCCAUGGAUGGACCCUUCACUAUCUAAAGCUUACUUGAUUCUCUCCUUAUCUUCUUUAGUGGCGUACUAGUUCAUCAGCCAUUACUUUUGUUUCAUCCAGAAACUUCUCUCAGUUCACUUUCAGAGUCGGAAGCAUCCUCAUAGGUCAAAGCUAUAAGAGCAAGUGAAGAUGUAUUCUUCCAUCCGCCCUGCAUUGAAUUAAGACAGAUUAGAUCGAUUGCUAAAGUUAAAAUGUCUAAAGUAGUGUGUAGCAUUCUUUACCUAAGCCGGAAUCCAGCACAACAUUGUUAGCAUAUCCUGGGGAACGAGACCACCAAUUACUAGCAGCAACGACCGAAACAACACCACUACCUCUGAUAUUGCCUUAAUCAGCUGACAAGAUUAUGCUUUCCCACUUCAGCAGGUUCUAUGAUUGCAGCACAAGAAAAACAUAAAACCCCACAAGCUAAGCAUGAAAAAAGUCCAUUUUUCUUGAGUGUAAAAGUUAUGGUUCUGAGAAGUCGCAGUGCACGAAGAAUUAAUUUUUUGCUAAUAAGGGAAUAUUAGCACCAUUAUGCAAUUCAGGAAAAUUUCUCCUGAUAAAAUCACAGGGACGAAGUAUAGUGGGAGAUCUUUUCCCAAGAGUAUGCAGCAGGUUGGUAUUAUGCGUCACGUGUUGCAGAAAAAGCCUCUUUACCGGGCAAUCCCCUUCACUUCUUCGUCCAAUGCUCACUGGUACCCUGAGAAUGUAAAAUUACGGGUUAAUGCUCUAUUUCAUCACUCUACUGGAUCAAAACUUUCAGUUGGCCAACCGAGUCAAAAAAAAUUUCAUUCAAAUAAUAAAGCAUCUAAAAACUUUCAAUCACGAGAUUAACCAUAAAAAACAUUUCAACGCCGUUAACAAUGUAUUUGACUUUAACAGGUACCGUUAAAGUUAACAGAAGGUGUUUUUAAUAUACAUGAAUACAGUGUAUGUAUGUUCAUAUCGCAUAUGACUUUUCAUUAUGAUACUUUUCGACAUUUUGUAAUUCAUGUAGAGUGAACCACGCUGAAGAGAAUGAUGGUGCAAGAUCAUUGAGCAAUUGGAUGUGGGAAACUAAUGGAGGAUAGUUUACUGCUGCCCGGCGAAUUUCAUCUUCUCCUGCGAACUGCAACCAUUCAGGAGUUGCGAUAUUUGAAACUUCCGAACAAGUGAAUCCUGUGUGCAUUAAUCAUUGUCAGAAUAGAUAAAGUAUAGAUAUAGUAAUAUUACAAACAAAAUCCAAGGUAAGAACAUGUCUGACCAUGACUGAAUCCUGAGUGGUAAGCCCUUGGAAAGGUGAAGACAAAUUCUCCCGGAUUUUGGACCAACCUGGUUUGACAAAGGAUUAAAUUCACAUAAAUACAUUGCCAGAAAACUAUACAGUCACAUUUUUAUAAUUGAUGUUCUGUGAAAAAGUCCUAAUGAUCAAGGUGGACAUGGGAAACUGGGAAGAUGAAAGAAUCAGGCCUCUUGUAAACAUUCAGCAGAAAAAGAUAACUGCAAAUUAGCUUUUCAGUAGAACUGAUGAAAGAUAAGUCUCAUCCUGCUACAAUUCCAUCCAGGUUCAAGAUUGAAGAGUAUUAAAAACAUGGAGCAUAGACAUAAAAGAGUUACCUGUAACAUGGAAUGCCAGCAUUAACAAUUCCUUCCGGAGACAUGACCGUAGUCUUCUUAGCAAAAGUAGCAUAACUCACUGCAGUUAUUCACGCUAAAACCCUUCUAAAUUGAAGAAGACUAAUAUGUAACAGCUUAUACAGUGAUUAAAAUUUGGUAUUCUAUAUCUAUAUAAGAAAAUGCUAUGACCUGGAAGAAGUUUAUAAGUGCUUCCCCACAUAAAAUGCACAAAGUUUUAAUCUUGAAGUUAACCUUAAAUUAGAAAUACAAAUUAGAGAAUUGGUUUGUUAAGUAUGUUUUUGGCAAUUACAUAUAUGUCACUUUAUACUAUUAUCACAAACCAUCCGAUUAUUCUGCAACCAUAGUCUUGAUACGUGGAAAACAUCACACCAUCCUUCAAAAGUCUUCGAGUACAAAAAGUUUUCAAGUAUUUGUAAUCACUAUGUAUUGAGGAAUAAAAUACAAGGGCAGUAUUGACGAUGACUUUGGCGAAGUCUUAUCACCAAUUAAUCAGGAUCAGGAUCAGACACGUGAUGCUUCUUCUGACAAUGUAAUCUUGGAACAUGAAGAUCAAUCGCAUUCAGUUCUGCUCCCACAAGUAAAUGCUGUGAAGGUAAGUUCGACAGAUAUGAAUGGGUUAGAAGGUGAUAAAGGUGCACAUAGUCUGUUCAAAUGGAUGUAUCAGAAGGAAGGGACUCAUUCAGCCUUCAUGUGAAUCUUCCGUGAUCAGCCCCAUCUGAGAAGGUGCAGUGCCACCAACUGAAUGAUCGUACUUACAGGACGACCCAAACUUACAAGUUCCAUAACGGCUGAAGUGCGAGCAGACACUCUGGCCCUAAGUCAUUUACGCAUGGGGAGACCAUUGAGUGGCUCUUCUGCCACACUGAGCCAUCAAUCAUUGCGGCCACUCGUACAGGAACUGUUCCCGCUCAAUCGAUAUCUAGCUUAUAUGAUGUUAUUACAUCAUCACCGUCAUCAACAAAUGUGGUUCACCAAGAAUGUUUAAUCAUGCGGGAGGAGUCGGGGUGAGUCUUCCUUUAAGUUCAUCCACAAUGGUGGCUCCCAGGGAUCACGGUUAUUUAAAUAUAUAUUAACUUAAAGUCUUUAGGCUCCUGCAGAUUCAUAUUAAAUUUUAUAUUACUAUAAUCAGCAAUCAAUGGUUAUUAUAUUAUUGAAAUUCAGAAUGAUUAUUAUUGUUCUUGCUGAAGAACUACGCCUACCUGGUAAAGUAGUGUCACCUCCUCCCGCUGCUGUAGGAUCCGGAUGACGAAACCUGUAGCUUUCCCUGUACUUGCAUGAACCAGUUCUCAUGUAGAAAGAACAUUCUUUCUCCCCCUGUCAUGCAAUCAAAACGCGUAUUAGAACAUAUAUUCUUCAUCAAGAUUAAUGGAUUAAUAUCAACAUGCCCUGUAAUUUGAAAUCCUUUGUCUAAUAAAGAUAAAUCAUCACUGAUGUACACAAAAAAAAUAUUUACCACCGACAAGAUUCUUCAUAAAUUAUCUGUAUUAACGAGGAAAGUAAAUAUAAAUAGGUAAAAAACACCCUCAUAACCUUAUAACUGAUCAUAUAGGCUACAUCUAAAUCUGCAUAUAAUUUGUCAUCAGAUACAUAUAAAAAUUUGGAUUCUGUAAAAAAGGAGAGAAGUUUUACCACUCUAAUGGGCAAGCCAAAUGGAUCUUUAAACUCUUCAAGGGUUGGAUAAAACUCUGGUGCUAAAGGAAGGGUUUUAAACCAUCGAAAAACCCCUGUUUUAUCGUAACUUUGUGGUUCGUGCAAAAAUUUACACAUUCAGAGAAACGUAUACAUCAAGAAAUUAAAACAUACAAGAUCUGUGAAGCUUUCGAAGGGGCCAGAUAGAGGGGCUUUAAGGAAGAGAUACGAAAGAGAGUGUGAAAGGAAAGGGGCUACAUAUCGUGUAUUCUUUUAGGUAUCAGCAAUAUAUAGAGAGGGUUCCCCCUGUUUUUUAAUUGUUUCUUUCUUUUCUUUUUUGAUAUUUUGUUUUGAUCUUUUAUGCUAGAGAUGUCUAUUGAAUUUCUUUCAGGUGUAUUUCUGAAAUUUUUAAGUUUUUAUUAAAAUAAUGUAGUUAGAGUAAAUAAAAUAUUAAUGCUGAGUGUCGCAUUUUUUUAUAUAAUUUCAUUGAUCACAUUUAAAAUAUGUAAGUUGUAGAAUGUCAAAUUUUACAUAUAAUAUGGAUCACAGAGUAUCAAAUUUAACAUAUCAGGCUGUUAUAUAUUUAAUAAGAGUCUUGGAUUCCAGAUUUAACUGGGUCAUAAUUAAUUGCGUCGUAAGGGAGAAGUCUGAGUAUAUGAAAGUAAAGAUAUAUAGAAUUGCGCAGUAUAUGACAAAAAAAAAAUAUGAUUUACAUAGUAAUAUUAAAGGGUAUGGAUUAAGAAAGAUUAGUUACCGGUAAGACUUCAGAAAUAGAAUUUGUCAUAAAGAAUAUUGGAUAAAUAAACUGUAAAUUGAUCAAAAAAAUGCUUUUACAUAAUAUUAUCUAGGGUAUUAAUGUUGUUAUACAAAAUAAAAGGAAUGUUACGACAUAUAUGUAUGAAAGAAUUGAUAUGACAAGCUUCCGUGUGAUAAGAAUUGUUGUCAUAUUUCGACAAACAUCAGGUCUCUCUCACACACACAUCAGGUUGUAAGGUGUCGGAUUUCACAUAAAAUACCGGAUUUCACAUAAAAUACCCGAAACCCGAAACGGGUUAAAUAUACAUAUAUAUUUUGGAUCCAGUUCAGGCACACUAGGUCAACCCGAACUCGACCUAAGUUUUUUGGAUAAAUAAUUCGUACUUUUUCGAGUCGGGUUUGUGUCAGGUUUUGCCAUCCUUAUAAAUAUAAAUCUAUGUAGAUAUUCAAACGAUUCUUCUAGGUUCGGCAAUACCUAACUAGGGUAUAAAAACAUAAAAUUUUUGUUAUCUUAGUUUCACCAUUAGUAUAUUAGUAUAUGUACUUUUUCAACAUAAUUUAACUGAUUUUUGUUAACAAAUAUUGAAUCCAAGUUAAAUAUGUGUUGAUGCAUAAUUUAUUUAUGGGGUUUCUAAUGAAACGGUGAUGUUUUUUAAUUAUUUUUAACAUGAAUAUUUUAUAUAACUAAUAACUAACACAUAGGGUAUGUUUUAACAUGGAUAUUUUAUCUUGUACGAUGCACAAAUGACUUUUAAUACUCAUUUAAACUUAAAUAUAUCAAAAUUGGUAUUAUAAUGUUUAAUUAAUACUUAACUUGUUUUAGAGGUGACCUUUUACAAUUUCAAUAACAAAUAGUCCCAAAUAUUAUAUUUAAAUAGUUAUAUUCUAUGCGGUCUACCUUUAAACUGGAGUCCUAAAGUACCGGUCAUAAUUUUUUAAUUUAAUUACAUAUAUUUUCUUUAAUUAUCAAAAAUUAGAUAUAAUUUAUCAUUUAUAAGUAACCAUAAACAUCAUUAUCAAUUAAUAAUUAACACUUUUCAGUUUUGAUAAUUAUUAAGAUAAUUGUUAUGCUUAUUAUAGAACAAAUGUCCUCACAUUUCUAAAAGUAAUUGUUAUCCUUUUUGAUUACGUAGAACAUAAUCUCAAGGUUGUCGGAUGUUUAAAAAUAUUGUAGAACCAAAAAAUUUAAAAUUUAAACAAUAAGAUUAUUCUUUAUUCAUUUUGAAGAACGAGACUUCAGAACCCCGCCUUAGAUGUAAGCAACUAAGCAUUAUAUGACUUUUCGUCUCUAUUGAAACUAUAAUAUUCAAAUCUGUUUUAAGUUUUAAUUAGAAUAGAGUAGUCUGGUUUUAUGUUUUUAGAAUAAAAGGCCGGUCAAUUUGUCCACAUACCCACUGUCGUUUGACUACAAAUUUUGUCACACCCCAAACCAAGACACACACAUACGAAUUAAUAUGAACAAGUGGUAUAUAUAUAAACCCACAAUUAAGAUUACAUAAAUUAUAAAUCCCAAAAGGCAAUAAUAAGUCGAUUACAAAACCAUCCAAAAAUGAAAUACAAAUCCCAAGAUCUUACAAGUUUAAAGUUUGGAACAACCCAUCUAACUAGUACAAAAUAUAAUAACGAACGCUGCCUAUAUCAUACUCCCUCCGUCCCUAUUUAUUUGUCCACUUUGGAAGUAAAAAUUUGUCCCUAUUUAUCUGUCCAUUUAUACUUUCAAAACUAAUUUAAUGAUAGUUUUUCAAAUAUAUCUCCAUAAUUUCAAUUUUCAAGGCUUGACUUAUUUAAAACUUGGUUGAAUUCAUGUUUUCAAGACAUAAAGUAGGGGUAUUCCACCAUUUUCAAGAUAUUAAUUAGAGGUAUUUAAUGAAAAAGUUCAUACAAUCAAUUAUUCCUUGGUAUGUGUUUUUUUUUUCCAAAAUGGACAGAUAAAAAGGGACGGAGAGAGUAUUUAAUCUACCUUCGACCUCAAACAGUUCUCGGCGUAUCCGGUAGUCGACUUACGGGCGGUUUGCUUCGUUUGUACCAUGGUUGCUAGCUGUAAAAGGGGUUAAAAACGAGAAAAUGAGCAAAAACGCUCAGCAAGUACUAACAGUCCUAUUAUACAUGGCAAUAUAACAAUAUCAAGGGCAUCCGAAUCAAAAUCAGGAAUAAAUGAUAAAGCAACACUAUGGAUCAUGAUGACAUAAUGAAUAGACAUGGAAAAUCAUAUAGAUAAUCAUGGUAUAAGAAUCAUGACAUCAUGGCAAUAUGACAACAUGUUAUAAUCAUAUAAUCAUCGAAAUUCAUUUUAGGACGCUACGAAUUACAGCCGGUGAUCAGCCGCGAAGUAAUCCCGAACCGCACUGGGUUCUCAAAUAUAAUGGGAUCCGUAGGCUAUAUGUGAGCCUAAAAAGUGUGAAAAAGACUUGCGUCUAGUCCAAUCCACGAAGUAAAGAAAACAUUUUUAUAAUUCAUUUUGAUUUAUAACAUGGAUGCCGGAAAAGAUUGGUAACACUUUUAUUAAAUAUGACAAAGGGAUCCAAGUUCACCAAUGAUGUGUCAAUGCAUAUUGGACUUAAGGGGUAAGUUCCAAAGUCAAAAGAAAGUCAAUUCUACAUUGUAUCAAGGUGAUAUUUGAUAUUUAUGAAAAUGGAUGUGUCAUGAUAUUAUUGGAAGUUUUAAUAGGGAAUCUAAAAUUUGGAGGUCUAAAGUGUAAGGGAAUAAUUUAAAAGUAAGGUGCUAGUAUGAUCGGGAAUUAUUAUUAAGGUAUUUGCGAAUACAAUAGGCAUGGUGGUCAUUGCAACUAAAUAAUCAUAAUAAUUUACGUGUCAUGGUACACAUAUACUUGCAACAAUUUAGAGAUAAGGAUGCAGUAACUUGCCUUCCGAAGAUUCUAAGAUUAUUCAAUCUUGACGGCACGAGUCUUCCCCUUCGCUUUUGAACCUACACAUUAUAUUAAUCUCGUCACUAAUUUAUACUUUAAGUCUAUAUUAUACUAUACGCGCCUAGACUCGAGGUACGUAUACUAGCAUCUCUAUUAUUAUAUAACUAUCGAUAUAAAACCAUUACAUAAAUAAUCAUUGGUACACAUGAUCAAUCGUCCAUAUGAAAGUAAAUUCACAUAGUCAAAUCAUCACUUACACACAUAAGGGCAUGACAUAUGCUACUUAACUACAUACAUACAUACAUAUAUAUAUAUAUAUAUAUAUAUAUAUAUAUAUAUAUAUAUAUAAUAUACUUGAAACUCUAACACAUAAGCAAGUAACACAUAAAGGCUAUUACUAAGGUUCUAACCUUCCUAAUAUGACCUUAUCUUAAACCUAAAGGUGAUGGGUAAAACUCAGACCCUAUACCCCUCACACUUGAACAAGGGUUAACAUUACAACUUUCUAAUGGAUUCUCUAAAGGUGCUCUUGGGUACUUGGUGAAAAAAAGUACUUUCACCUAGGGCCUUCACUCUAUGCCACUCCUAAAAGGUUUUUAAUACUCUAAACUUACUUCUAAAGUUGACAAAACCCAGAGGCCUUGCACUAAUAGGCUUAUAAGGUUCAAAGGACACAUUGAGGUCUCCUGCCAUAACUCCUUUGCACUACCUGUGUCCAAACUAGUAUAUCUUGGGUUUUACUAGGUGCAUUCUAACAAAACCAAUUCCCAUAGAUUCCUAAGUCUCGAAGAUAACUCUCAGACUUGGUUUCAUGCCAAGGCCCCACCUGGGCCUCCCUAGGCCUCUGUUCAAAGUUGACACUGCUAAAUGUUACCCUGCAUCUCAACUGUUCUGUUUUUACUAGUUUAAACUCUGUUUUCUCACUAUAUUUUUAGUUCUAAUGGCUUGUUAGGCUUCCUAAGGGUUCAUUGGUCUCAGUUAAGCUAAGGCCCCUUAAAGGCCUCACUCAUGACAAGGUGAUGAUCACUCAAAAGCCCAGACUACUCAAAUCUGCCCUGUUCUGUGGUGUCUACUGGUGUGUGCACCUAACUAAACUCAAGGGUUUUGCUGAUUUAAGGAUACUAGACUCAAGUAUAGCUCAAGUCCCAACUCUUGUAAACUCAGGCCAAGAAAUGCCUAGCCACAACACUACCAGACCUUCUAUUAUCUAGUGCAAAAAUUCUGCUAACGUGUUCGUGUGUGCCUCCUUCCACCUUAACACACAUCUCAAUGCCAAGAUUCAACAACCAAGCCAACAAACCUAUUAUAUACCCUAUAUAUAUGUCUACUGUCUAGCAUUUUAUUAGAAUUUAAAAUAUCAAUUAAGCCUUAAAAAUCAAAAUGUUGAAGCAAAAACACAGUAGAGAGCAGAGCAAUUUGCAACACUACGCCAUAUGUGCACAUAGGCAACGGUUUUUAGCAAGCGUUGCAUUUUCUAGAAAGAAUAGAUCUUUUGCAACACAGCAGAGGAAGCGCUGCAUUGCAGUUAAAUUACAGUUGCUUAUUAUAGACAGUGUUGCGCAAAGUGCAACACUAGCAACAUUAGUGUUGCAUUAGCGAUUUAAAAUAAUUAUUUUUUGCUGAGAUGGCCUCUCUGGGGCCCAAAACCGCUGAGGUGGCAUGCUAAGGUGGCAUAUGGGACCCACUGUGCUGACGUGGCACCUGGGCCCCACAUGUGGGCCCACAAUGGUGACGUGGCAGGUGGGCCCCACAUGUGGACCCACUGUGCUGACAUGGCAUGUUGACAUAUCAGAAAUAUUGCACUUGGUUCGUGGUGUUGCAUUUGGUUGUAAGUGUUGGGUUUCGGGGCAAUAAAACGCAGCAAAAAGUAACGUAAAAUCAAAAAUUUCCGAAACCCUAACCGUAGGAUCCAUCUAUGAUGCAUGGCUGAUUAUGGAGAUACAAAAUAAUACCUUGUUUAAGCUUUACGUUAGCGAAAGAUGGAGGUCCGGAAUAAGCAAUCACCACGCAGCCCUCAGUCUAAGGAUCGCGUCUCUAAACAGUCCACAUGAACGCCUGAUCGCCUAAUGAUCACCGGAGCCGGUACCAGCCGAAAACAACCUCUCUCUCUCUCUCUCUCUCUCUCUCUCUCUCUCUCUCUCUUCUCUUGAUAUAGAGCUGCUAGGGUUUUAUAAAACGAUUUUUAUAACUCUUAACCCUAAAACAAUACAUCAUUAUGUAUUUAUAGGGAAGGGAGAGAGAUGGGCCUAACCCUAAUCGGUUUUGGGCUUCUCCAAAUCCAAUCCGAUUUAGGUUUUAAUAUUAAAUUCAAAAUCCUGAUUAUUUAAUUAAGACCGGCUCAACUAAACAAUUUAUUUCGAAUUUAAUUAUUUAAUUUAAAUUCAGAAUUUAAAUUAAAAACUCUUUUAAAAGUUAUAAGUGUGUGACCCUUUAGGUUAUUAUUACGUUGGCAAUAAUUUUAAUAUCCCAUAAUAAAAUUAUAAACAAUGAGCGGCAUCUAGUAAUACAUCAUUGCUACCCAAGUAAUAAUAAUAAUUGGUGAUUCAAUUAAACCUUUUGUGAAUAAUGUACAAUGUAAUAUAAUCCUUUUAACCUUAUAUUAUAGAUCAAACUCGAGGCAUGCAUUGUGUCAUCCUCUUCAACGUUUAAUUCGAAUUUCCUUGAUCAAUGAGUAGACUAUUAAACAAAUCAAUAUUUGAGCAUGACCAUGCAUUUCAUAGUCCCACUCAAUCAAGAGGCCAAUAAUAUCACUCCUAAAAUAGGAGGGUUAAAUCCUUUCUAGAUCAUUCAUAUUUCUCAUACGAUUCAUAAUAUACCCAAUGUACAUUUCAUCAUCACCCGGUCAAAGGUAACUUUUAGUGCAACCAAAGUAUAUUAAUUCUCAUAUAGAAAUAUAAUGAUAUCAAGUCAGAGGAUCAUUACAUCAUUAUCACAGUGAGAAUUUCUAAUGACACUUAUUAACAUGUAAAAUCUCACGGUGGGUCAUUCCAGUGCCAUGUGUCAAUACAUGCACUUAUGUUCUUGACUUUAGCAUCACUAUACCUAUGAUCAAUGAGAUGUGAUCAUCAGUCAACAAACAUACUAGUCUUAAUGCAUCAUUAUUGUCCCUUAACAAUAAUACUCGACUAGGGACAUUUAGGAAUAUUGAUAUUAUUCUCAUAAUCUCAUUUCUAAGUCACGUACUUAGAGAUAUAGAAUUACAUAUAAUAUUCCAAGGACAUUUAUUAUGCUUUCAAUUUAUUACGCAGUAAAUAAAGACACAAUAAAUAUUUAUUCAAUAAUCAAUAUAACAUAAUCCAUAAAUGUCUACGAUAGAACACAAUAGUAUUGUCUCUAGGACACCAAUACUAACAAUCUCCCACUUGUGCUAGAGCCAAUCUCUGAUGUAUCCAAUACCCAUGGAACUAGUAUGACCCUCGUGCUUCUGCUGCGACAAAGCCUUGGUCAGUGGAUCUGCAAUGUUAUCAUCUGUAUGCACUUUACAUAUAUGUAUAUCCCCUCGAGUAUUAAUCUCUCGGAGCAGGUGGUAUCGUCUGAGUAUAUGCUUAGUGCGGGAAUGAGAUCGGGGUUCCUUAGCCUGUGAAAUGGCUCCAUUAUUGUCACAGUACAAAUCUAUCGGAUCUGAUACUGAAGGAACCACAUCAAGUCCUGUAAGAAAUUUCGUGAUCCAAACAGCCUCCUUGGCUGCUUCACAAGCAGCUAUAUACUUAGCCUCCAUUGUAGAAUCGGCAAUCGUCUCUUGCUUUGAACUUUUCCAACUAACAGCACCUCCAUUUAGACAAAAUACAAAGCCAGACUGAGAGAUCGAAUCAUCUUUGUCUGUUUGGAAACUAGCAUCUGUGUAACCUUUUACAACUAGUUUCUCUUCUCCUCCAUAUACCAAGAAUUGAUCUUUAGUCCUCUUUAGGUACUUAAGAAUAUUCUUGACUGCCGUCCAGUGACCUUCACCUGGAUUAGACUGGUAUCUACUCGUCAUGCUCAAGGCAUACGAGACAUCAGGACGAGUACAUAUCAUUGCAUACAUUAUAGAACCAAUUGCCGAAGCAUAUGGAACUUUACUCAUACGGUCCUUAUCAUCCAAUGAUUUAGGACUGUUCUCUUUCGAGAUCAAUAUCCCGUGAGACAUUGAGACAUAUCCCCUUUUUGCCUCCUGCAUCCCAAAUCGAUGCAAUACCUUAUCAAUGUAUGUGCUUUGACUCAGACCGAUCAGCCUUCUUGGUCUAUCUCUAUAGAUCCUGAUCCCUAAUAUAUAGGUCGCAUCGCCCAAGUCUUUCAUCGAGAAGUUUUUGCUCAACCAAGUCUUAACAGCCUGUAAAGAAGGUAUGUCAUUCCCCAUUAGUAAUAUGUCAUCCACAUAUAGCACUAGGAAUGCCACAUGGCUCCCACUCACUUUCUUGUAAACACAAGGCUCAUCUUCAUUUUGAAUGAAGCCAAACUCUUUGACUGUUUCAUCAAAACGAAUAUUCCAUCUCCUUGAGGCUUGCUUCAAUCCGUAUAUAGAUCGUCGCAACUUACAAACCAUUUUGGGAAAUCUCGGAUCGACAAAACCUUCAGGUUGUGUCAUAUACACAUCCUCUUCUAGGCUUCCAUUCAAGAAGACGGUUUUGACAUCCAUCUGCCAGAUUUCGUAGUCAUAGUGAGCAGCUAUUGCAAGCAAAAUCCUGAUGGAUUUGACCAUAGCAACUGGUGAGAAGGUUUCAUCAUAGUCAAUACCAUGAAUCUGUCUGAAACCUUUUGCAACUAGUCGUGCCUUAUAGGUCUGAACAUUUCCAUCCAUGUCGGUUUUCUUUUUGAAAACCCAUUUACACUCAAUAGGUUUAACUCCCUCGGGUAAAUCAACCAAAGUCCAUACUUGGUUUUCAUACAUGGAAUCCAUCUCAGAUUUCAUGGCAUCAAGCCAUCUCUUGGAAUCUGGAGUGUUCUUAGCAUCUUUGUAGGUUAGAGGCUCAUCAUUAUCCAUAAGCAUCACAUCACCAGUUUGAGUCAAGAGAAAACCAUAAUAUCUCUCUGGCUCAUGGCGAACCCUACUAGAUCUACGAACAACCUGUGUUUCCGGAACAGGAUUACUCUCAGUAUUUUGAUGUACAUCCUGCUCAGGUUCCUGCUCUGGUUCAAUGUUAUCAUGUGGUUCUCGAACUUCAUCGAGAUCUAUUAUCCUCCCACUGUUUUUCUUAGAAAGCAUCUCUCUUUCAAGGAACACAGCGGUUCGGAUAACAAACACUUUGUUCUCAGAAGGAUUAUAGAAUGAAUAACCUCUUGUUUCAAUUGGGUUUCCCACAAAAUUACAUUUAUCAGACUUAGGUCCUAGCUUGUCAGGAUUUUGACGUUUUACAAACGCCUUACAUCCCCAAAUUUUCAUAAAUGACAUGCUAUGACGUUUCUCAGUCCAUAUCUCAUAUGGAGUGUUCUGGACCGUUUUAGUAGGAACUCGGUUAAGUGUGUAGGCAGCCGUUUCUAGAGCAUAGCCGCAGAAACUAAUUGGAAGAUCUGCAUGACUCAUCAUUGAUCGCACCAUGUCCAACAAGGUACGAUUCCCCCUCUCGGAAACUCCAUUCCAUUGUGGUGUUCCAGGAGGAGUAAGUUGUGAUACGAUACCACACUCUUUUAAGAAAUUCUUAAAUUCUUGGCUUAAGUAUUCACCUCCACGAUCUGAUCGCAGAGUCUUAAUACUUUUGGUAGUUUGCUUUUGUACUUCAGCUUUGUACUCUUUGAACUUUUCAAAAGAGUCAGAUUUGCUCUUCCUAAGAUAUACAUAUCCAUAUCUACUGAAAUCAUCGGUAAACGUUAUGAAGUAGUAAAAGCCACCUCUUGCCAUUGUACGCAUAGGACCACAUACAUCAGUAUGUAUUAGUUCUAGUCGUUCAGUGGCCCUCUCACCUUGUCCAGUGAAAGGUGCUUUAGUCAUUUUUCCAAUGAGACAUGGUUCGCAUGCUUCGUAUGAUUCAAAAUCAAACUUAUCCAAGUAUCCAUCCUUAUGUAACUUGGAAAUGCGCUUCUCAUUUAUAUGGCCUAAACGACAGUGCCAGAGGUAUGUUUUAUUUGAGUCAUCAGUUUUAAGAAAGUUAAAAAAUACGGAGAGGACAGAUGAGAUGGAUAUAAGAAUAUUUUAUAUUUGUAAUAUUUGAUUAUUUUAAUAAAAAAUAUGCAUCUAUUUUUUUUUGACAAUUUAAUUUUAUAUGUCUUAUAAAUGAAUAUACGUCGUUAUACUUGAGCCCCAGCUGGAUCUGGAAAACAUGGUUCCAAAUACAUCAUCACCACCUGGUGUAACUAUGCAACCGGGUGCGAGUUGUGAGUGAUCGGCACCUUUACACUAUCACCACCUUCUGCCAGUCGUCUUCGGUGUGGCUCGAGGAAGGCUGAAACGCAACUUGAUACUGAUAACUAUUUAUUCACCAACAGCUUAUUGGGACCAUUUUUGGGCCAUCUGCUAGAGAUGUGGGAGAGUCCCUAGGGCUGGGUGUAAGUCUGAGGCAGUGUUGUUCGCAAUAUCUUGAGAAGCACAUGACCUAAUUAAUUACGUCAUUACGAAGUGCGAGUAUCAUUAAGCUUUAAUUGGGUGGUUUUUUGUCGAAAAAAAUAAAAUAUGGUUGUUAACAAGCACUUCUUCUCCCCGUGAGAUGUACUUGACACGUAUUUUAAGAUUCGAUAAAAUAAUUCAUUAUAUUAUUUUAAAAUUCUUUUUCAUUUGAAUAAAAAUUUAAAUAUUUAAACGUUUAUUCAGAAAGAAAAAAUAUUAAAAAUAAAUCAUUAAAAUAUGUGUCAAGUAAUGAAAAACUGUAUGGUAUUAAAUGCGACGAAAAGAGUAUAUAUUAAUAAUUAAAUUAUUCAGUUUUUAAGCAUAGCAGCUUCUUCAAAGUCAUUUAAUUUAAAUCUAUGAUCUAUCGAAUUCUCGUUCUUCCUCUUGCAUUUUAAGGUAGGGAUGUUCCACUUGUCAAGAACCUCGCACAAUAAAGAGUCCUCGGCACCAGAAAUAUUACACACAUCAUUCUAGCUGAGGCCUUCACCUUCAUGGACACACAUCAAACUUUAGCGCUUUUCAACGCUUAAACGCGCUUGUUGAGCGCUUUUUUGCUAAUUUCAGAAUCAAAUUAAAUUUCUAAUAUUGGAAUCACACGUCUUGCGCCUAAUGCUACUUCAGUACUGUAUGUAGUGUAUCUUCUUCUUGGAAGAGGCUGUCCUUUUUCCCCUUAAUUCAAUACGUUUCUUUUCAUUUGUUUUUUAGGAGUUCACCCUCGGAAAAUUGUGAAUUUGCAACUUCGUCAUAUCACAAACAUGAGAUUGAGAAAUAAAAAGUUUCUAGUGUGAAGGCCAGAUAUAAUCAUGAUAUCAGAUCAGAAGUUUCUGCUUUGAUGAAUAAAUUUUCUUCACCUCUGUAAUGUAGCUUUGAAGAAAAAGAAGGUGUCGUACAGAGGGGACCUUAACCUGAAGAAGAUCAUGACAGAUAAAAUUGAAUUGUUACAUGACACCCAUCUAGAACAUCUCUUAUUGUGAGUGUAUGAACCGAAUGAGAUCAAUAUUGAAUUGCAGUUCGAGAAGAGGAAAACUACAGCCUAAAAGCUGAGUUAGCAAGGAAGGACGCGCUUUGAAAUACCACAAGUCGCUCUUGGCCAAAAGCAAAGGCAAAUUGGUGCUUGCUGAUUAGUAAGCUAAUGGAUGCGCAAUUGCACUUAUAUGAAGAAUGUAAAACUUAUGGAAAUUUUUAACAACUGCUAUUUUGCUUUGUCAUUUCAAUUUGAUAUGUUGCUUAGAAGUACAUAACACAUUUGGUUUCCAUAGCAAAUGCUAACUUCAUGAUGUGUUCAAGAAUGUUUUUGCAGUGGCAGAAUAUGAUCCAACGGAGGACGAGGACCGACCAUGUUGAUUGUUAGGCGAUGCACUCAAGAGGCCUUGCUGGUGUUUAAUGUUUUACUAUUUCAAGUUCUUAUAUUCCGUUUGAAGAACAAUUUGUGUUGGUCGAUUUUUUGGUGACUUAGUCCUGGGUUUUAAUUUGGUUGUUUUAACUUUUAAGAUGAGGUGGAUGGAUCGUGGUUGUAUUUUGUUGAUUUAAUUGGUGACUUACUUGAAGAACAUAUCCAUAUAUGUUGGUGGAUUAUAUUAGUGACAUGGUCCAUUAUUUGGAUUUUAAAAUACAUGUGAUUUAAAAUACACGAGCCAUUUUAUUAAGUUAAAGUAUUAUCUUUACAGCUAAUUAUUUUUUUCUGAAUUCUUAGAAAUAUAUCUUAAAUGAAUUAAAUCAAAAAAAAUUAUAAUGAGUUCUGGUUAUAGUAUUAUGCAUUUAUUUAUAAUAUUAAUUAUUUAUUAUUUGAAAAAUUAAGAUUGAGUUUUACUUCACAGUCAAUAGUUUUUGUUGAGUUUUUAGAAAUAUAUCUUUCCUGAAUUAAAUCAGAAAGAACUAUUAUGAUUUGUUGAGGUUUUAUAAAUAUAUCUUCAUAAAUAAUUGUCAGGUUAUAACAUUAUGCAUCCAUUUGGUUAUGCAUUUCUUUCCUCAGUCAAUCGUUUUUGUUGAGUUUUUAGAAAUACAUCUUUCAUGAAUUAAAUCAAGAAUUAGAGUAAGUCCUAGUAGUCAAUCAAAUAUCAAAAAUUUGCUUAUGGGUAAUACAAUUUAACUAGCAUAAAAGCCCGUGCGAGGCACGGGGCUCUAGUUUUUGCUGUAUUUUAAAUAAUAUUCAUAUGUCAUUAUAUUGUUCUUGUACGGACCUUGAGUUUGUAUUAUGUUUUAAAUAAUAUCCGUGUGUCAUCAUAUUGUUUCGAGCGUAACUAUUACGUUUUACUUUUUGACAAAAUAUGUAAACAUGAAAAAUGUAAUAUAUGCAAGCUAAUAGCAUUAAUAGUAAUAAUAAGUACUAUUCCCUCCAUUCCAUUUUACAUGACCCUUAUUCUUUUUUGAGACAUCUCUAAAAUAAUGAACUUACUAUACUUACUAUUUUUAAACACUACUUAUCACUAUUACACACACUACUUCUCUAUUUUAUACUCUUUUAUAUUAAAUAAACACUAUUACACUCACUACUUACCAUCACUAUCUCAAAUCUAUUAUUAAAUUUUGAUAUAUUCCACCACUUUACCCACUUUCCAACUAAAUUUCCUCUUUUUUACUACUUUUUUCUUAAUCUCCGUGAAAGUCAAAUAAGGUCACCUAAAAUAGGACGAAGGGAGUAUAUUUUUAAAAAAAAUUAUAGAUCAAAAACUACAUUUGAACUGAUAUUUCUAUAUUCAAAUUCGUUAGGAUAUAGAGACCAUCAUCAUAUUAUCAAUGUUCAAAAUUAUAUUCGAAAUUAAUACUGAAAUUUUAAAUUUUAAAUAUAUUAUACCUCAUUAAAAGAAUCUGUAAUUUAUUGUUGAAAUUAUUAAAUUAUUUCAACUAAUAUACCAUGAUUUUGAUAAAAACCUGUUUUUGAUAUGUGAAUUACGAUAUCCUAAAUCAUGAUUAAAUGAAGAUGUGUGGUCCGCGUUGCCCUACAUUUAUUUCUUCUUUUUUGAGCGUACGUUUGCAUAAUUAUUAAAGUGAUACAUGAUGGAGCAGAUCAUCAACACAUUCUUUUUAGCAUAUGUUGCACACAUUUUGUAUAAAUAAAAAUUGAAACAUGUGUUGUACGUAAAAAGACACGUACCUUAUUUUAUUAUAAAAGUAUCAAUUGAACUACUAACCAUAUAAUUGCACCCCAAAAAUUUCUGACACCUUUGAUGUGUCUUAUCCUUUUAUUUUUCAUAUCAAUUAUAUAGUACUUCAAUGUAUUAUAUUUUUAUUGUUAAUUUAAAAAUAUUUGAUGAAUAUUACUUUGAUACAGUAUGUUAUAACAUUAUCUCGUUAUAAAAUUUUAAUUUUCUAUAAUUAGUUUUUUGAGCUUGUCUAUUAAGACUUUUAAUGAUUUUUCAUGUAAUCGUUAUAAAACAGAUCUCAAACAAAUGAUUUUAUGGAAUUUCAAAUAGCAAAAAGAGAGUAGAUAUGAGUUAGGCAUCAUGAAGUUCAUAAAACCAUAAAAUAUUUAGUUCAAUUAGUCGUGUAGUUACUUUUUUAGCUUUGUGCAAACUCACAUUUUUAAUAUUUUGAUACUCGUAUUUAUUAGGAGUGAUCAAUGUGGCAUAUCAUGUUCAAUUGUUAAAGAUCAAGUUAUAUAUUCGAUAUUUUGAAUCAUGAAAAAACUAUUCUUGUUCUAGUCCCGUUUAAUCAGAUAUUAGUUUCACCGUAUCGCGUCAGAUUAUCCGGUUCAGAAUUAAUUAUAUUUUAUUAGUUUAAUUUGUAAAUGAUUAAUUUAACUGUAGUUUGAAUCAUUUUAUUUAACUGGUAUGUUAUAUAUUGGAUGAUGGCAUAUUAAAAAUUAUAGUUUUAAGACUUUAAUAUAUAUAACUUAUUUCUCUGUGUUAUUUUAUUUAACAAAGUAAAAUUUAUAACUCAAAUCUUUUUAGUAGUUCUCGUAAACGCGUUUUAUUAUUAUGUGGUUGACUUUUGAUUAACAAUAUAAAAUUUCCUUAAAUUCACCUUCAUAUCACAAGUUAUAGUAUUUCAAAUACAUAUAUCAUCAAAAUUAUAUCAUUUAGAUAUAUUUUCCGACACCAAAUUUGAUGUAUUGUCACUAUCCUUAUAUCUAUAAUUUUUUUAAAAAAAGAUUUAGUUACACAUCAAAUUCUGAAUUCAUAAGUUUAAAAUAAAAAAAUAUUCUACAUAGGAAUAUUCUUUCAGUCACCUUAUUUCGUGUUCUCCAAAAUAUUGUAAUCUCUUUGUAAAUUGCCUUUUAUAAUAAAAGAAAUUAAUAUGACAUAGCCCAUGUUGAAAGCCCAUCAAUUUUUCCUUUCAAAGAUGCUCGCUUAAACCUCAGUUUUUGUACUUAUUUCUCACAUUCAUGACUUAAAAUUUCUAUAAUAUUGUAUCGGUGCUCGUUUAAACUAUUAAGUUAGAUUUGAAUUCGAAUACGAAUUAUAUCUAUUUUUUGAAAUCCGAAUCAUGGCACGAACCCGAUUAUUCAUAUUUUUUUUAAUUUUAAAUUUAUUUAUGUAAAUAAUUAAUUUAUAGAUAUUAAUCUAUCAUGUAAACAAUAUAUGAGACUUAACUGAAAUAAUAACUCAUCUCAAAUAAAUAAGAUAUUGAGACGAAUAUAAAUACACAAGUUUUAAAGUAUGUGAUUAAUGCUUUUGAGUAAUAAACUAAUUGUUUGUGUAGCUCAAGUGGUUUGAGUGAUGUAUUUGUAUUGGAGAGAUCCCGAGUUCGAGGCUCAGGUUCGGAGCUAGAUAAUUUAUUUGCUUAGGAGGGAGGCUUGACACGAACCUGUUGGGCUACUAUAUAUAUAAGUAGAAAGUAGAUAAGUAGAUAGGUUGAUCCAAUAAAGAAGAAAAUUCCAGCCAAUCUGGACUAAUCAAAGGAAGCAUGAUGUUUUGAUGCUUCUAGAUUGACCAGAGAUCUGCUUGUAAGUUAAGUAAUUUUCUUAUCAUGCCCUCGGAAACAUGAAUCUGGAAACCUUUUGGCAACUGUCGACUGUUCAGGUCGACCAGAAUACAUUCGAGCACUGAACAAGAUAUAUACAUAUAUGCCACUUUAUACUAUUAUCAUAAACUAUCCGAUUAUUCUGCAACCAUAGUCUUGAUACGUGGAAAAUAUCACAAUAUCCUUCAAACGCCUCGAGUACAAAAAGAUUUCAAGUAUUUGUAAUCACUAUGUAUUGAGGAAAGCUCUCGUUUUUCUUUAAUUCCCUCCAUUCUCACCAAACAUUUCAGACCCCGCUUUAAUUUAGUUAAAAAGGUUCUCUCCAGGGAUAGACUGCACUUUGCUUUGAUAAUAAAGGAGAUAUUUAAUGUGUGAAUUUAUUGUAUUUUGUUUGUGUGUAUAUAAAGUAAAAACUGUAUAGGUAAUAAAUUUACUUUUUCCAAAAAAAAAAUGUUUCUACUUUUACAAGAUACACAUAUACAUUUUAAAGUAAGAAAAGUAUCUGCAUUAGUCUGGCACUUAUUUAUUUAUUAUUUUCAGAAGAAGUGUUUGCGGGAUCAUCCAAGUAAUGCAACAUUAACUACCAACCUCUGCAGGACGGAUCUAGAAAUUUGUAAGUAUGGGGGGAUUUAACAACCGAUGAGAUUUUAUAUCAGUUUAAACCUAAAUAUAGGGAAAAAAUUAAGGCACAAAAGCAAGUAAAAUGAUAAUUAUUGAGGAAAAAACAUGAUCUCAGUGUCAAUUUUAGGUCAUCUUUGAUGGCUGACAAUAACUAACAUUUUCACGAUAAUAGAAGAUAUAUCAUACAUGGCAGGUACCCCCUUGUCCUACUGUGAAUCCGUCCCUGAUUACCUACCUCCGCAUAUCUGAACCUCCUGCAGCUCCUUGCAGAAUGUACAGUGAUUGUGUGCUUAGAACAUGCUUAACCAUUUAUCAAAAUCCAUGGUAUAUAGACAAGAUAACAAAAAUUAAUAUACAGAAGAUAUGAAAACUAUAGUCCAUAACUAUACAAAUUUUUAUCAUGUAGUUUGGUUCAUCUAAAAUGGACAACAUUAUGUACAUUCCUUUGUGGCUGAAAAUUCUAUUCUGAAAUUGAAAAGGCUUAAUGACAGGGCCUGAAUCAGCAGUAAUGUGAAGUAAAUUCAAGGACAGGUUAAAAUAGAAACGAGGUCCUCUUUUCACUGAGUAGCCUUCUUUGGAGGGUGAUUGCAGUUCUUAACCUGAGUCCAAUCCUCGGUCCACCUUCCGACUUUUCAGUUCCAUGGUCCUCCUGGACUGCCUUUACCUGAAGCUUAUUCUUGUAAGUCCUUUUGUAUACUAUUAUACAUUGAUCUUUCGGUGCCUUCACAGAUUCUUCAGCUACAGGAGACUUGCCCCUCGAGGAGUCGAGGUAGGCUCACAAUCAGCAAGUCUCUUCCUCUUCCAUGUGUGACUUCUUGAUGAUUUUCUAGGCGCCACAUCAGCUGAAGUAUAUUGACUUAGGUUGGCACUGCAAGAAAAAUGAGCCCCUAGCUUUGCAGCCCAGUCAGCGUUCCCAGGAAAGGACCCUUCACUAUCUAAAGCCGACUUGAUUCUCUCCUUAUCUUCUUCCGCGGCUUCCCUGAAGGAAAUGUCACUCCAAAUAUGAUCUUCCCCCAGUUCAUCAGCCAUUAAUAUUGUUGCGGCCAAAAACUUGGGAUAAUCUGCAAAAUAUGCUUCGCUAAAUAUUAUAAAAGGACUGUAGCAGAGAAAAUAAUUGAUAUUACAGAUUUAUCGUGUGAUGAGAUUUGAGGGUGUCGCGGUUUUAACGUAAUAUGGAUCACAAAGUAUCAUAUUUAAUAUAUACGUAUAAUGUCAAUUAUAGAGUGUCAGUUUUAUGUAUAGCACAAGGUGCUAGGUGUUAAUAUUUCUAUAUAACUCUACUUUAUGUUAAUUACUAUGAUAGAUAAACAAAAUCAAUAUUAUUGUAGAUGAUGAAUAUAAACAAUAUAAUGUUUGUAGAUAUUAUCUUCAAAGAAAAAAGGUAUAGAAUAUAUGAGAGAAAAAUAUGUAAAUUUACUUAGUAAUGAUAGAAAACAAGAUUUGUAAAGAGUAUUCGAGGGAGGGAAUAUGUAUAUAACAUUAUUGAAGAGUAUUGACUAAUACUCCCUUCGUCCCCCCACCAGGUUCUUUACCGUUUCUUUUUCUGGACGUCCCACCCAAUUCUUUACAUUACAAAACUUUCCCAAAAUAGUUAAUAGGUCCCAUCACCUUAUCACUUUUUCUUUCUUUUCACACUACUUUUACUUCUAUCUCUCUUUUAUAUAUUAAAAAUCAAUGGGUCCCACCACUUCACCUACUUUGCUUUCUUUUUUUCCACUACUUUAUACAUAUUUCUUAACCUCCAUGCCCAAACCCAAUGUAAACAAUUGGGUGGGACGGAGGGAGUAAAUAUUAAUUGUCAAUGGUGUGGGCGAAGUGGAAAUUUUCAUGUCACAAAAAUUAAAUAAUAUUAAAUGAAUAGCUAGAUAAAUGAAAUAUAAAUGAUGAAACAAAUACUUUCACAUAAAUUGAUUUGGUUUAAUUUUAUGAUAUACAACUAAUUCGACACACACACACAGAUAUAUAUGGAGGAAAGAAUUAAUAUAACGGAUUUUUUCUAUAAUUAGAUUGUAGGGUACGGUGGUAUUUUAUAUAAUGUGUAUUAUAUUGUAAUAGAUUUUACAUAUGUACGAUGUAUAUAGGGUGUUGAAUACAUAUAAUAUGGUUUAUAUAAUGUCAGAUUCCACCUAUAAUUCCAUGUACAAUGUGCGUUAGGGGGUAUUAGUAAUUUUCGGACGACAACUUAAGCAUACCUUUUUUUCAAAAAAAAAAACUUAAGAAUACAUAUCAAAUAUAAUAUGAUUAUGUGUAUAGAGCCGCCAAGAAUGAUCAUACUCGUCAAACAAACCUUACCAUACUUGUUGUAUAAAUCUUACCAUAUUUAGUUUCAAAUCAACUAGGUUUGAGAUCAAGACAUGUCUUUUAUAUAUAAUCAUUAUCUAAACAUACGAUUAUUAUCUAUAUGUAUCUUGGAUAACCCAUGCCCAAGUUAUUAAUUGGAUUGGCAUCCUACAACAACUCACACAAGUGGCUCUCAGAAAUUAAGAAUUUUUUGAAACAAUAAUAUAAAUGUGAUACAAGUUGUAAUGUGAGAGUUAAAAAAUAUUUUUGAUAUUACAAAAAAAAUCAAAUGAGGAGUUGCAUGACCUUUUUUAAAAAUAUUCAAUAUACUAUGACUUUACUUGACGGGGAUUGCAUACUGUUGGGUUUGCAAAUAGAUGAAAUUAUAGUUUUCAAAUAUCUUGACUUCACUAUGAUUGUUAAUUGGUAUAAACAUUAUUACCGAGAUUUAACAAAAAAAGUAUUAUUUGUAGAAAAGUUAAAAAUUACAUAUUAUACUACAUAAAUAAUUUUAUUUUAAGUUUCAUCAGAUAAGCAAAAUAUUCUAAAACCCCUCCAUUUCAACAACAAGCACAACUCAUAAUCCUCAUCUCAUCACUUAAAAUACGUAAAAUGGUUCUAAAACCCCCCUUCAUUUCGACAAUAAACACCAAAUAGAUUGUAUUAUGGAAUUUUUCAGUUGAAAAAUUUCAGCUUGUAUUAUGGAAUUAAGGGGCGGGAGGAAUUGCCGCUUGUUUUUCAUUUUUUUAAGAUAGGUUAUUAGACAUCGGUUACAAAAAAUACUCAUGUCUUAGAAUCCUUAGACAUCAGUUAAUUUUUGGACGAUAUUAAAAGGUCCUUUAACAUCGGGUGCAAUUACAACCGAUGUCUAUGUACCGAUGUCUAUUGACAAAUUUCUAGUAGUGACUCAGAAUCCUCAGACUUAAACCCUCAACCGUCAUUCCACUAAGUUUCAUGGCAAUCGUCAGUUAGUUUAUGAUCCAGGAUGUGAUCACCAAAAUCAAGACUCUAAACCCUGGCUCUAGCUUUUCUUGAUUAAUAACAUAUUUUUACAGGGUGAGUAAACUCAUUUGAAACGCUCUCGUUUUUCUUUAAUUACCUCCAUUCUCACGAAACAUUUUAGACCCUGCUUAAAUAUAGUUAAAAAGGUUCUCUUCUCCAGAACAGUCUAUACUUUGCUUUGAUAAGAUUUAUUGUAUUUUGUUUGUGUAUAUAUAAAGUAAAAGUAAAAACUGUAUUGGUAAGAAAUUUACUUUUUCCAAAUAAAAUGUUUUGUUCUUAAUUUUUCUACUUUUACAAGAUAUACAUAUACAUUAUAAAGUAAGAAAAAUAUUUGCAUCAGUCUGGCACUUAUUUAUUUAUUAUUUUCAGAAGAAGUGAUUGCGGGAUCAUCCAGGUAAUGUAACAUUAACUACCAACCUCUGCAGGACUGUUCUAGAAAUUUGUAAGUAUUGGCGCGGGUGGAGUGGGGGGGAGUUUAAUAGCCGGUGAGAUUUUAUAUCAGUUUAAACAUAAUAUAGGGAAAAAAUUGAGGUACAAAAGUAAGUAAAAUGAUAAUUAUUGAGGAAAAAACAUGAUCUCGGUGUCAAUUUUAGGUCAGAUUUGAUGGCUGACAAUAACUAACAUUUUCACGAUAAUAUAAGAUAUAUCAUACAUGGCAGGUACCCCCUUGUCCCACUGUGAAUCCGUCCCUAAUUACCUCGGCAUAUCUGAACCUCCUGCAGCUCGUUGCAGCAUGUACAGUGAUUGUGUACUUAAAACAUGCUUAACCAUCUAUCAAAAUCCAUAGUAUAUAGAUAAGACAACAAAAAUUAAUAUACAGAAGAUAUGAGAACUAUAGUCCAUAACUAUACAAAUUUUUAUCAUGUAGUUUGGUUCAUCUAAAGUGGACAACAUUAUGUACAUUCCUUUGUGGCUGAAAAUUCUAUUCUGAAAUUGAAAAGGCUUAUUGAAGGGUCCUGAAUCAGCGGUAAUGUGAAGGAAAUUCCAAGCACAUGUUAAACUAGAAACGAGGUCCUCUUUUAACUGAGUAGCCUUCUUUGGAGGGUGAUUUACAGUUCUUGACCUGAGUCUAGUCGUCGGUCCACCUUCCGACUUUUCAGUGCCAUGGUCCUCGUUCUGUUCAGGCGGAGGAGUCUCCUCCUGGACUGCCUUUACUUUAGGCUUAUUCUAGUAAGUCAUCUUGUAUACAAUUAUACAUUGAUCUUUCGGGGCCUUCACAGAUUCUUCAGCUACAGGAGACUUGCCUCUUGAGGUAGGCUCACAAUCAGCAAGUCUCUUCCUCUUCAAUGUGUGACUUCUUGAUGAUUUGCUAGGCGCCACAUCAGCUGAAGUAUAUUGACUUAGGUUGGCAAUGCAAGAAAAAUUAGCCCCCCAGCUUUGCAGCCCAGUCAGCGUUCCCAGGAAAGGACCCUUCACUAUCUAAAGCCGACUUGAUUCUCUCCUUAUCUUCUUCGGCGGCUUCCCUGAAGGAAAUGUCACUCCAAAUAUGAUCUUCCCCCAGUUCAUCAGCCAUUUAUAAUUUGUUUCAGCCAAAAACUUGGGAUAAUCUUCAAAAUAUGCAUCGCUAUAUAUUAUCAAAGGACUGGUAGCAGAGAAGGCAUGAGUACUAGUACCUCAACACAUAUGCUAAGUAGGUUGCCAUAUGCACCAAAUUGUAAAGGAAGUAUGCAUUUCAUCGACAAAUGUUAUGCAUUUUACUCUCUGUAUGCUAAUGAAGUUGCCAAAAAAGCAAAAAGGAAACGUUACAGAGAAAAAAGGAGGGAAAAGUUGUGAGCACAGGAUAUAUCUCUACUUUAACUGAAUACAAGUUUACAGCAGAUGACAGGGUUAUAUAUAAAAAUUGCGGUCUUAGGGUUUGGUUUCAUUUUUUUAACGUGGGAAAUGGCAAUUAGUUUCAUUUCCGGAAAUUUUUGAAGGUGUCUGUUCGCGUUUGCUUCAUUGUACAAACUAUAAAGAUCCAAAAUCAUACUGACAAGAAUAAUCUCAUUAGACCAGACAACAGAUUCACGAGUAUUUACUUUUAACACACAUAAUUAAGUACUAAUUAUCAAAACUAAUAAUUUACCUGGAUGACAAAGGAGUAACAUAUGCAUGCAGCCGAGCACAUCCAGUUUCUGUUUAACUUCUAUAGCAUGCUGAACACAGAAGACAUCCCAUCGAGAGGAUUCCUCAUCAAGGCCGGAUACUGGGGAAACUUCUCUAAGUUCAGUUUCAGAGUCGGAGGCAUCCUCAUAGGUCCAAACUAUAAGAGAAAGUGAGGAUAUAUCCUUUGGAGGCCUACUACUACAGGAAGCUUCCAUCCGCCCUGCACUUAAUUUAUAUUGCCAUAUCAGAUUACCUUCGUGAUAUUUACAUAUUUUCAUCUGAACUGACAUAAUAAACCACAGCAGGUCGUGAAUUUUUUACUGGAAUACCAUAUGCAUUUUACCUACUUCUCUGAAAGCUUACCCUUAGAUAUACUGAACGAGAAACAACUAUCUAUGGUACGCAGAAAAUAAAGUAAGGGAGUGUUAGCAUGUCUUUGUUGAUAAAGAGAGAAGCUUUAAACCGGAAUGUAGUAUUCUUUACCUAAACCGGAAUCCAGCACAUCAUUGUUAGCAUAUAUGGGGUAACGAGUCCCCCAAUUACUAAAAGCAACACACUACGCGUUAUAUUGCCACAAUCAGUUGAUGUAAGCUUAUGCAGAUCCACUUCACUAGGUUUAAUGAUUGCUGCACAAGAAAUUAAUAAAACCCCACAAGCUAAACAUGAAAAAAGACCUGUACCUGGCAACCACUCACAUUGAUCAGGUCCACAUUUUUGAGUGUUAAUGUUCAGGUUCUCAGAAGUCAGGGUUCAUGAAGAAUUAAUGUGUUUGCUAAACAAGGGAAUAUUCUUACCAUUGUGCAAAUCACGGGGCAAAAGAAUAGCUGGAGAUCCUUUCCCAAGACUAUGAAGCAAUGAGAGAAUCAAAUCAACUUUAGAUAGUGAAGGGUACAUUCACGGGAAUGUGAUUGACUGGGCUGCAAAGUUGGGGGGCCAAUCUUUCUUACAGUGCCAAACCUAAGUUCAACAUUAAAGAGGAAGGGUAUAGAUGAUCCUAAGCCAACCCAAAGAAGCAAGUUUCCAAGAGUUAAAGAGUCAGCCGAGGCCACACACCAUGAACAAGUUAGAGUAUCUCAAAAUUUACCUGAGCAAGCAGAACCUAAUGUAGUUCCUGGAAAAUUAUCAAGAUGUCAAAAAACUGAUUUGUCUUCUGGAAGUAGCGAUGCCACAUUGAAGAGGAAUAAUAUGGCUGAUAGUGAGCCUGUCUCUAGGGGCAAGUCUCCUGUAGUGUAAUAAUCAGUGAAGGCACCCAAAGAUAAAUGUAUUAUACAAUACAAAAGGACUUACAAAAAUAAGCUCAAGGUAAAGCCAAUCCAGGAGGAGACUCCUCUGCCUGAACAGAACCAUGACCAGGGCACUGAAAAUCUAGAUGUCAAUAUUGAAGAUAAGUUGGAAGGUGGGCCGAGCACUAGACUCAGGCCAAGACUGUAAGGCAGGCUCCAAAGGAGGAUCCGAGACUUGUCGGGGACAAAGCUGAAGCCAAAAGGGCAUCAACGCGAUGUUUGCUUCAUCAACUUUUGGCUUCAUCAAAAGUUGAAAAGUGUGUUGAUGAAGCAAACAUCGCGUUGAUGCACUUUUGGCUUCAGCUUUGUCCGUGACAAGCUCAGAUCCUUCUUUGGAGCCUACUUUACAGUCUUGGCCUGAGUCUAGUGCUCGGCCCACCUUCCAAGUUAUCUUCAAUAUUGACAUCUAGCUUUUUAGUGCCGUGGUCAUGGUUUUGUUCAGGCUGAGGAGUCUCCUCCUGGAUUGGCUUUACCUUGAGCUUAUUAUUGUAAGUCCUCUUGUAUUGUAUAAUACAUUUACCUUUGGGUGCCUUCACUGAUUCUUCAACUACAGGAGACUUGCCCCUUGAGACAGGCUCACUAUCAGCCAUAUUAUUCCUCUACAAUGUGGCAUCGCUACUUCCAGAAGACAAAUCAGUUUUUUGACAUCUUGAUAAUUUUCCAGGAACUACAUUAGGUUCUGCUUGCUCAGGUAAAUUUUGAGAUACUCUAACUUGUUCAUGGUCUGUGGCCUCGGCUAACUCUUUAACUCUUGGAAACUUGCUUCUUUCGGUUGGCUUAGGAUCAUCUAUACCCUUCCUCUUUAAUGUUGGACUUAGGUUUGGCACUGUAAGAAAGAUUGGCUCCAAACUUUGCAGCCCAGUCAAUUACAUUCCCGUGAAUGGACCCUUCACUAUCUAAAGUUGAUUUGAUUCUCUCAUUGCUUCAUCUUGGGAAAGGAUCUCCGGCUAUUCUUUUGCCCCGUGAUUUGCAUAAUGGUAAGAAUAUUCCCAUGUUUAGAAAACAUAUUAAUUCUUCGUAAACCCUGACUUCUGAGAACCUGAACAUUAACACUCAAAAAUAUGGACCUGAUCAAUGUGAGUGGUUGCCAGGUACAGGUCUUUUUUCAUGUUUAGCUUGUGGGGUUUUAUUAAUUUCUUGUGCAGCAAUCAUAAAACCUAGUGAAGUGGAUCUGCAUAAGCUCACAUCGACUGAUUGUGGCAAUAUUGCGCGUAGUGUGUUGCUUCUAGUAAUUGGGGGACUCGUUACCCCAGAUAUGCUAACAAUGAUGUGCUGGAUUCCGGUUUAGGUAAAGAAUACUACAUACCGGUUUAGAGCUUCUCUCUUUCUCAACAAAGACAUGUUAACACUCCCUUACUUUAUUUUCUGGGUACCAUAGAUAGUUGUUUCUCGUUCAGUAUAUCUAAGGGUAAGCUUUGAGAGAAGUAGGUAAAAUGCAUAUGGUAUUCUGUAAAAAAUUCACGACUUGGUGUGGUUUAUUAUGUCAGUUAAAAUGAAAAUAUGUAAAUAUCACGAAGGUAAUCUGAUAUGGCAAUAUAAAUUAAGUGCAGGGCGGAUGGAAGCUUCCUGUAGUAGUAGGCCUCCAAAGGAUAUAUCCUCACUUGCUCUUAUAGCUUGGACCUAUGAGGAUGCCUCCGACUCUGAAACUGAACUUGGAGAAGUUUCCCCAGUAUCCGGCCUUGAUGAGGAAUCCUCUCGAUGGGAUGUCUUCUGUGUUCAGCAUGCUAUAGAAGUUAAACAGAAACUGGAUGUGCCAAAAGUGCGUUGAUGAAGCAAACAUCGCGUUAAUUCUUCGUGAACCAUGACUUCUGAGAAGCUGAACAUGAACACUCAAAAAUACUUGUCUCUUUUGGUUGGCUCAGGAUAAUCCAUACGCUUCCUCUUUAAUGUUGGACUUAGUUUGGCACCGUAAUAAAGAUUAUCCCGCAACCAUAGUCUUGAUACCACGAAAUCAUCACAACAUCCAUCAAAGUCUUGUAGACCUCAACCUAAGGUUAAGUACAAAACGUUUUCAAGUAUUUGUAAUCACUCUGAUAUAAGUGUCUGCAACUACUGUAUGAUACUUAAGCAGACCCAUCUAAAGAAGCUGCAGUGCCACCAACUGACUGAUCGUACUCAAAGAGAGGACCAAACUUACAAAUCCCAUAACGGCUGAAGUGUGAGCAGAUUCUCUGGCCUUAGACAUUUACAGGACAAAAUAAAUUUUGUUGUACCAGAGAACUAAAAUUUGAAUAUGGAGCAAUAUGGUUACUGCUUACUAAUGCAAGCCCGUGACACUAUCUUAAAGCUAAAAUAAGUUAAUGUUCACGAUCUAGCUGAAUAAUUGAAAGAGAGUCUUACAGGUGGCAGAGGCAGUCCUUGGUCACUGAGAGCCGACUCCGGGUUUCUGGGUUGGUGGAACCUGCAAGAAGAUUUGAACUUACAAUCCCCCGUUCUCAUGUAGAAACUGAACUCGGGCUGUCCAGGUCGUUCAGGAUAUUUGUUUACAUUCACCUGGCCCUGUGGAUGUGCAUCAAAGCUGGAUCUAGUUGCUAGAAUAGUCAUCGCAAGUGCUGGGGGAACAGGCAGCAUCCCUUGUGAUCUUCCUUAUGCAGGAGCCUUAAGAGUUCAAAGAGAAAUUUAGUAAAGCAAAACCAUGGUAGUUUGUUAACACGAUAAAAGCACCAGAGUGAAUACAAUUUGAACAGUAGGCAAAAAAAGGGAUCACAAUUAUCAAAAUAUAUAAUAAAAAAAAGUUUUUAAUUGUCACUCUCGCUUGAAUUCGCAGCUAAUGCCUCUGGUAUUUACAGCAUACUUAAUACCAACAUUUACACCACUCAGUGCAAUUAUAUAAGUACCAACAUGGACUCGUAACGUUUUAGACCGUUUUAACUGUCACCCUGUGAAAAUAAUAGAAAAUGCCAACUGCAAAAAGCUUAGACUUGUAAUCUUAUUUUCCAAAGAUUGUCACAUGAGUCGAGGAAUACCUGAUAUCCGUUCCAUUCUGCAUUUUCUGGCAGAAAGAUAACUGGUCUGAAGGGAGCACUCUCAUUUGUAUCACUUGCUGUUGACCUACCUCUACCUGGUGAAGUAGUGUAACCUCCUCCCGCUGCUGUAGAAUCUGGAUGAUGAAACUUGCAGUAUUCCCCAUACUUGCAUCAACUGGUUUUCAUGAAGAAAGAACAUUCUUUCUCCCCCUGUUGCGCAAUCAAAAAGCUUAAUAGAAAAUCUAUGGUGAAGUGACUUAAUAUUAUAUUUGACAAGGAUGAACUUAUAUUCUCUGUCAGGAUAAAUGGAUAAACUUGAGUGUUGAUAGGUGAGUAAACUGCAACAUACAGAACAUAUAUGCCUACAGGAACUACAGCAUGUGUAUUGGUUCCAAAUACAAACAGGGUAAUAUCUGUAGCAGUUGCAGAUGACUAAUAUGAAUAUAAAUGUUGGAUGUCAAAAGUACACAAAAGAAAUAUAUAUAUUUACCACUGCCAAGAUUCCUCAUAAAUUACUAAUGACGAAGUUGCUACAGUAACGAGCAAAAUUAAGGGUGUUGGCCCCCUUAUCACAAUUUAAAGCAACAAUACCUCAAAUAUCAUGUCUGGGAAAUAUGGACCUGAUAUCACUUCAUAAUGUUACAUCGUUUAACGUUUAUAAUUUUUUUUUAAAUAGACAGAAACACUACAUUUUGUAGCGUCUACCAUUGCUUUUAAGCCCAAGCCCAUAAAAAACACUUGCAAACCGUGGAAACAAUAACACUAGACGAUGUAAUGUUAUGAAGUAACGUUACUUUAUAUAAUACUAGAAGCCCAAACAAAACGAAGGCUACAUCGUGUAGCGUUUUAUUCUUAUAAACCAUAACGCUACAUGAUGUAGUGUUUUAAUGUGGUAUCCAGGGUAAUGUUUCAUAUUUUCAGAAUGUGAUAUUUAGGGCAUUUCAACUCCAAAUUGUGAUAUUCAGGGCCUUUUCUCCAAAAUUAAUAUAAAUAAGCAAAAAGCACCUUAAUAACCUUAUAACUGAUCAUAUAUGGCUACAUCUAUAUCUGCAUACACUUUUUGAUCUGAUGGUAACAAUAUCCAUGUUGAUCGAAUAUGGAUUGCAUACAUAAGAAAAACUAGAUUCUGCGAAAAAAAGGAUAGAAGUUUUACCACUCUAAUCAGCAAACCAAAUAAAGUUCAACUCUAAAUUUGGGGUCACUGCAACUUUUCCUUUGUCAUGACUAUACCUACAAGCUUUUCCUUUUUUUCAACCACCUGGUAACAAGUAAUACUGCAAAGAAAAAUGGAGGAAUAUCAAGCGGAGACUGUUAUAUACUUGCAUAGUUGCAUUAUAGUUCAGUAUGGCCAGAUGGAAUCAAGACAACAAACCAAGAAGUUGAACUAUUUAUUUUCAACAGAAGUUUAUAAGUAGACGACCCAGAAAAUAAGAUAUAAAUCCCAUUAGCUUGGCAAUCGUGGUUGAGGCUUUCAUGAAAGGAUUCACAUUAUAUUUUCUGUGAGAAAGUUGAGCUAAAGAUACAUGAGCAGAAUAUACGUGUUGUACACUGUGGUGUAAUGGUUUUUUACACCAUAUAUGCACGAACACUAAAUUUUGCAAGUAGAGAAGAGAGAAACAUAAUAUACAUGCAUUUAAGAAAGUGAAGCAAAAAGAAGACACAUAUUACAUAUAAUGUAUAAUAGCGAAAAUGAUGGUAACCUUGCAUUCUGUUUGUCAAGCCUUAUCAUAAGUUUCCUCCUUUCGCUUGAAUGUAUCCCUUGCAGCCUGCAAAAAGUUCGCAUUAUCAUAAAAUUCCUCCUUUUGCUUAAAUGUAUCCCUAGCAGCCUGCAAAAAGCUCGCAGUUCAAAUUUAGGUUAACAAAACACGUUUAACCUCAAGAUUAUCCAGAUAGACUACCAAAGCAAUAUACUCUCUAUAGAAUCUCCAACCAAAGUAAAAAAGUUGCUAUAGUGAAGUAAUACAUAAUAAUUUUACUCAAUACCAAUUUUUUUCAUAUAUAUCCAAUAUCUUUUAAGAGUUAUUGACAUAAACCCAUAGGUUAGUAGAAGUAAUCAUAAGUUGUAUUAUACCUGGUUUUUCCUCUCAAGUGGAUGAUUAAUUAGCUUUAGCUCUUACACCACCGUCAUCCCAAUUCUCACCCAAACCAUCUUCAGAAACCUCAAUGACAUAAUCCCAAUUCUAACCCCAACCAUCUUCAUAGUCCUCAAAGACAUCAUCCCAAUUCACACCCGAACCAUCUUCAUAGUUCUCAAUGACUUCUUUUCCCUUCAAAUCACAAUCACCGCCUUCAUUCCCAAUCUCAUUUCCUUCCACAACAUUACGAUUUUCAGGGUUUCUCUCUUCGAUUGCCAUUUCAUCUUCAAUACCCUUCAAAUCACAAUCACUGCCUUCAUUCCCAAACUCACUCCUAUUACUCCCCUCAUCAUUAUCCCCGUCCUUUAUUUCCUUAAAAGCACCUUUUUCCCCUUCUUUUCAAGGUUUCUCUCUUCAAUUUCCGCCUCAUCUUUAAUGCCCUCCAAAUCAAGAUCACCGUCUACAUUCUCAAUCUCACCUCACUUACUCCCCUUGUUAUCCUCCCGUUCCUUCAUCUCUUUAAAGUCUCCUUCAUUUCCUUCCACCACAAUACGCUUUUCGGGGUUUCUCUCUUUAAUUUCCGCCUCAUUUUUAAUACCCUCCAAUUCACCAUCACCGCCUUCAUUCUCAAUCUCACUCCACUUACUCCCAUCCUUAUCUUUACCCCCUUCCUUCAUUUCCUUAUAAUCACCUUCAUUUCCUUCCACACCGCCUAACUUUUCAAUUUUUCUCUCUUCGAAUUUCGCCUCAUGAUUAAUAAAACCUUUCCAAUCACGAUAACCGACUCGAUUCUCAUUCUCAUCACACAACUUACUCCCAAACUCAUCACCAUCUCUAAAUAGCCCCAAACCACCUUGAUCAUUCUCACCCCGACUUCCCUCCCCAAAGCCCCCAACUUUAUCAAAAUCCUCUUUGUUUCGAUAGCAAGCACCAACUCAGAACCCUCAUCUUCAUCGCGUAAACCCUCAACAGUCAUUUCACUAAGUUUCUUGGCAAACCCAUCUUCCUGAUCACAAAUUAAUUCAUGAUCUAGGGUUUGAUCACCAAAUUAAUCAAGACUCUGAAACCCUAGCUCUUGGCUUUGUGGCUUAGUGGCUUAGUUUCAUUUUUUACACUCUAGAACAAAAUGCCUGUCUUUUGCUUUUAGUGUAGGUAUUUAUUGUAUUUGUGUGAAUAUAAAGUAGAAACGGAAAAUCCUCACAAUAAAAUUAAAAAUAAAGAUGCAUGGAUAUUAAAUAUACUUUCCCUUAAAAAAAGUUUCGUUCUUAUCUUUUCUCCUUUUACUCACUAUUUUAAAAAUCAUCGAUGUUUUUUGAAGAUCCCAGAAAUCUUGAAGAUAUAUUUUAUUGGUUUAUCGAUUACACUCAAUUUGAGUAAAAAUCCUUAAUUCGUCGAGAAAAUCUCUGAUAAAUUCCCAAUAAAUCCUGAAUCGGCAGGUCAACCGAUUAGUUCCGAUAUAUUAUCAAUUUCAGCAACCAUGCUUUUACACAUAAAAAAAUCCUACACAUAACUAUGUGACUAUGGUGCAUGACACUAAUAAUAAAUUGAUCACAUAACAGGGAAAUACAUAGCAGAAAAUAAAUUGAUCACAUAUAUAACAGGGAAAUGCAUAGCAGAAAAACUUGAGUGAAUGUAGUGCCUAUAUCUAAUCCUCCGGCAGUUCCUUGCGGAAUGUCACGAUGAAUGUCCUAAAACUUGCUUACCGUGUACAGAAACAGUCCAUGGUAUAUAGACAUGAUAACAAAAUAAAGUUAAAUACAUAUUUUUGAUAUAUCAAGAUAUGAGAACUACAGUACUCCAGAGUUAUACGUAAAUUUCGACCAUCUAAUGUAAGACAACAUUGUGCACAUUUCAAUGUGGCUGAUAAGUCUGUUUCCGAAAUUAAUAAGGCUAAAUCAACUAUAAUAUCAAAGACAUUCCAAGGACAUGUUAAACUAGAAACUACACCAACCUCUGCACAUGAGCAUCGAGGUUCUUAGAUAAUGUUAACUCGCUUCGUUUCUCUGUUUCUUCAUGCCUUUCGGUGCUCAUUCUUCGAGCUACCCUGAGUGUCCGGUCUUCCUCUUAUGGCGACUGAAAUCUGACAAAAUGAAAUGUUUUUCCAGCCAGUCUCACCACAGGUAUAUGGACGGACACCUGUAUGAACUCGAUAUGUUCUGUCCCAGCCCAAGCCCAUUUAAAUGUCCAGGUGUAGCCUUCCCAAGUGCAUUGUAGGGGACGGUCCUCACGAUGCACUUCCUGAUUGUGCACCAUCAGAUACUUGUGUGACGCCAACUUCUUUCCGCACCCCUUCACUGAGCAAAUAUUUU